AUGGACUUGGGAGGAGAUCCUGGAUGGUACGGGACCCUGGAGGCAGGCUGGGGAGUAUCGCCAUCCGUGCUUAACGUGGCGAGCGUCGUACUGGUCAGGCACCGUGUUAUGCGGUGGAGCGCACGGUGUCACCAGUGCGCGUGCAUAGCCUGGUGCGCAACCUUCCAGCCCCCCGAAUCGGCCGAGCUAGAGUGGGCAUCCAGCCAGUUCGGAGGUUGCCGGAUCUGCGCAUCUGGCCGCCAGUACGUCUCUACGGCCCGGGAUAUCCUGAGCCGGCUCUGCACACUGUAUCUCCGGUGCAUCUGCACAGCCCAGUGCGUCGGGUGCCUGCGCCCCGCAUCUGCAGGGCGAAAAACCAUCCAGCCAGGACGGGUUGUGCAGGCUCUACGCUCAAGACCUCCAGUGUGCCUCCAUGGCCCAGUGUAUCCUGUGCCUAUCCCCAGAAGGACAGGGCCUCCUGUAUGUCUCCCCAGCCUGGUGAGCCCUGUGGCGGCUCAACGUACCAGACUGCCCAUACGUCUCCUCCUUCCAGUGAUGAUCCAUGGCAAGAAGCCUCCAGUGAUGAUCCUUGGCACGAAGCCUCCAGUGAUGAUCCAUGGCACGAAGCCUCCAGAGUUGAUCCAUGGCACGAAGCCUCCAGUGUUGAUCCAUGGCACGAAGCCUCCAGUGUUGAUCCAUGGCACGAAGCCUCCAGUGUUGAUCCAUGGCACGAAGCCUCCAGUGUUGAUCCAUGGCACGAAGCCUCCAGUGUUGAUCCAUGGCACGAAGCCUCCAGUGUUGAUCCAUGGCACGAAGCCUCCAGUGUUGAUCCAUGGCACGAAGCCUCCAGUGUUGAUCCAUGGCACGAAGCCUCCAGUGUUGAUCCAUGGCACGAAGCCUCCAGUGUUGAUACAUGGCACGAAGCCUCCAGUGAUGAUCCAUGGCACGAAGCCUACAGCGACGGUCCCCAGUAAGGAGCCUCCAGCGACAGUCUCCAGUCCGGGGCCCCCAGCGACGGUCUCCAGCCCGCGACGAGGGUCCCCGCACCCGAGGUGCCACCAAAGUGGGGUGAGCCAGUGGUGGAGCGGGGUCUGCGUCCCGCACCUGAGCCACCGCGGAUAG
rnacentral:lncRNA from 1 species